GGUCCUGACAGCCCGAACCUAUCGGAUCAAUUAAAGCUUGGUCCGAGGAACAACAGAGGGCUCCGAGAGGUGUUAUUUUGUUCAACUAAAGACCAGAAAGAAUACUCGCUCCCAGGUUAGAUAUGGACAAUAGUCGGCAGAGGCAUACAUUCAGAAUCUCCACAAAUGUGAAAGAAUAUGGCAAGCACUAGUAUGAUGUGAUCACUGGAAGCCCGAAGAGUUAGGCAUCAAAAUCGUUUCCUAUCGCUUCAUUCUAGGAAACGCGAAGACUAUCUGUAUACAGCAAAAUCAGAGGGUCCAAUUUCUCGUCAUUAAUUUAUUCGGAAAAUCAUCGCGAGGCCUCGAGAUUGCGAGGCUGCGAUCGAGUUCCCUCUCUCAAGGUUCGUCUACGCCUAGCUUAGAAACAAUAUCGACCAUGGAAAGGGUAAAAAUGGGGGAGUUCCCAAGACACACGGCUAAGUCUGACAGAGCCUAGCCGGCCUAAUCUGGACCCGAAUCAUGGUGUCAUAUCUAGCUAUCCCAUCUCUAUAUCUUUACAAUUAAUGUAUUUUGUACUAUGUCGGG
rnacentral:lncRNA from 1 species